CAGUAGCCGCGGGAAUACGAAGGGGGCUAGCGUUGCUCGGAAUGACUGGGCGUAAAGGGCGCGUAGGCGGCUGACACAGUCAGAUGUGAAAUUCCUGGGCUCAACCUGGGGACUGCAUUUGAGACGUGUUGGCUUGAGUGGAAAAGAGGGUCGUGGAAUUUCCAGUGUAGAGGUGAAAUUCGUUGAGAUCGGAAAGAACACCAACGGCGAAAGCACUCUGCUGGGCCGACACUGACACUGAGAGACGAAAGCUAGGGGAGCAAAUGGGAUUAGAUACCCCGGUAGUCCCUGUCUCUUAUAC
rnacentral:rRNA from 1 species